GACAGAGGAUGCAAGCGUUAUCCGGAAUGAUUGGGCGUAAAGCGUCUGUAGGUGGCUUUUUAAGUCUGCCGUCAAAUCCCAGGGCUUAACCCUGGACAGGCGGUGGAAACUACCAAGCUGGAGUACAGUAGGGGCAGAGGGAAUUUCCGGUGGAGCGGUGAAAUGCGCAGAUAUCAGGAGGAACACCCGUGGCGAAAGCGGCUCUCUGGGACGGUACUGACGCUGAGACGCGAAAGCGUGGGGAGCAAACAGG
rnacentral:rRNA from 1 species